AGCUUUGCACAGUGGCAGUGUCGUAGCCAAUGAGGUUUAUCUGAGACCCAAUUAGCGGUAAUUGAAAAUUUUUCCCAAUACCCCACCAUGAUGACUUGCAAUAAAGUCGCAUUGGCAAUUUUUGAGCGUCUCUAGGGAGA